AAAAGUACAUGCAUUCUUAUUAUGGCCACACCUGGCGUACUAGUAAAUCAACUGUGAUCAGAUUGGUUAAAAAAAAAGAGGCUGCGUGUGAUUUCAGUUCCGGUUCAAUGCAUUUGUAAUGAGGGGCCGCACUUCUGUGCAGUGUGCACAUUAGUCGUCGUUGCCAGCAGGCUGCACCCGACAGCCAAGGGAUUUACAUGUGGCAUAGCAAGUCUCUGAAGCAGUGUCUCACACUCGAGUCCUGACCGAGGGCCUUGAAACUGGCAUGCCUGUUCAAAACAUCUCCAGGACAACAAGAAGAUGAAGGAGAAUGCGUGCAGUGGGCUGAAUGGAGAAUUCGUGAAUCAAAGGCAACACCAUCAAAUGCAUUAUGAAAUUAAGCACUAUCAGGUUGUCAAGGCUGUAGCUCAGCCAACACAUUGGAUCGGCCCUCCGCAUGGUCCUGUAUACCUGAUUUUUUUUUUUUUUUAACUAUUUAUAUAUGGAAUCUGAAUGCACUCUCCAAUAAAUGCUGCAGUUCUUUGUGCCACAAGAGGCCAAGAAGCUCUACUACAAGAAGUUGAGGCAGAAGAUGAAGAUUAUUACAAAUUAUCCAAGUCAGUUCCUUCCGACCAAGUAAUUUGAUUGGACAAGAGGCAUUCCAGUGCUGAUAUAGAGUAUAACAGCACUGGGUCUUUUAACUAUCCACGUAUCGCUCCGCUUUACGGGUGUUCUCAUAACCGUUAAUGUUAUCAACAAUCUUUUUGUAGCUUAGAUUGCAGCUGAAUUAAGUUGAAUUAAGAAUGGUCGCCAGAAGAGGAACAAGGGAACCUAAUGUAAUGCUAAUGUGUUUGUGUUGCUUGGCAACAGUUCAGUCCAGUUGCGGAUCUAUUUGUGUUGGCGGAGCCAAAUAAAUCAUUAAUGAACCAAAGAAAUCUGAACAUAAUAUGUUGUUAAUUAUUAUUGUUAACUAAUGAUUGGUGCUUGUAGAACUGUUGGAUAAAAGCAAUAUCACUCAGGAGUGAGUGCUGUUGUACUACGGCUGGGAAGAGAAUCACAGCCGUGCUGAUAUUCAGUACAACAGCACUCCCUCUUGUGUGAUAUUGCUUAAUUAUUCUGUUCCAAAAUUCCAUAAAAAGUCUCAUUACUAAGAAAUAUUGAUGUAUAGUUACUUUUGUCAGUUUCAAGUUUUUGUUUUAACACGGGGGUACCAACAAUGUGUAUGAUGUAUGACUACCUUAAAGCAUUUGUCGAUGAUCUCACCCAGCUGCUGAGAGAACCUUCAGAGGUAAACCUCUAAGGUGUGCUCCUUUAUAAGCGAUGCUCCAGCAUGUGCUUUUCUCCAAAACAGUGUGCUAUCCUCUGGUUCAGUCUUUAUCAUCUACAGUUGAUUUAGGUACAAAAAAAGCCCAUUUCACAUAUCCCAUCGAUUAAAUGCACCUCUGCUGUUUGGGUGUAAAUUUUGCCAUCACUAUUUCUUGUUACGGAGAUGAAGACAACUACUUGUCUCUUUCAUGCAUCUCCUUUGUCCACAUCUAUGUUUGGGGAAUGUAAUUUGAAGCCAUUCCGUAAGUGUUUGCUAUGCCUCAUUGUUUAUUUUACUGCAUACUACAUUGGCACACUUGGGAUUUUUAUUUUAUUCAAUUUCUUCCCUUCUACAAUGCGGCAGCAUAAUCAUUACUACAGAUUUAUUUCCCCCACUUUAUUCUGUUUUUUGGGCAUUUCCUACCAGUGCAAAGAUGUUUAAAUUAGUCACUGAAAGCAGUGUUCUGAAAUGAUAUCAAAAAUAGUUGUGGCCUGUAUAUGUAAGCAUGGCCUUCACAUAUUUUUUGUAAAGCUGUACAUGUCUUUAAAGAUAUUGAUGCGGACGUUUCCACAUUUACACUUCUCAGUGCAAAUGGUUUUUUGAAUAAGUUUCUGAAAGUAGUGCUUUGAGAUGUUUGAGAUAACAAACAUUUAAUGUGUUGGAAAUAUUUUUGGUCGCUGUGUCAUAAUUCAGCUUAAUAUUUAAUACAUUGUUUCUUAUGGCAUAUUAACGAGAAAAUGUCAAACUGGCACUGAAUGUUGAAAAGGUUGCUGACCCCUGGUUACUGUAUUCCCUCUCCCGCUCCAUUACAUGUAUGUUUGUUUAUUUCAAGUUAACUUGUUUUUCUGUGUUAUUACAACCUUGCAACACAUUUCCAUUAAUGUAGUUUGUUUAUUCCUUAACAGUUUUCAAAAAACACAAUCAAAUGGGUACUAAAACCUUAAUCUUUGUCAAGCCAAACUCUUGAGUAAUUAUUUCAAAGAAUAGGGGCGUGGAAAUCAAUAAGGUAAGUGGGCUUUGGGGCUUAUCUUAUGACUAACUUUGGAUCUGAACUAAUGUGAAUCGUGAGUAGAUCUCAUGGUGUUUACAUCGCUUUACUAGGAUUUCUAAAUUGCAGCUUCUGUGUUUUAACCCCUCUCAAAUGCUACUGUUGUAAUGGGGUUUUCUUAACCAGUGAUCUUUAUUGCAUUUGUGAAAAC